rnacentral:pre_miRNA from 1 species
GAUUUCAAAUGGAAAAGUCAUAAACAACAAAGUUGUACAACUCAUCAAGAUCUACAAUUUUAGUUUUGGUCAUUUUUUCAUCCAACAAAGUGAUAGUAAUAUUAUUCACCAAAAUCACAUUUCUCUCAUCUGGUUUAUAAACAUUAACACAUAUAUAUCAAUUUUGUAAGCAGUGUUACUAUUACUUUAUCGGAUGAAGAAGUGACCAAAAUAAAAGUUAUAGAUCUUGAUAAGCUCUACAACUUUGUUGUUGACCAUAUUUCCAUUUGAAAUC